rnacentral:rRNA from 1 species
UCGGACUUGAGKGUAAAUGAGGUAGGCGGAAUGCGKKGGKKUAGCGGUGAAAUGCAUAGAUWUCACSCAGAACUCCGAUGSGAAGGCAGCUUACUAAGCUACAACUGACAYKAAGCACGAAAGSSKKGGGGAUCAAACAGGAUUAGAUACCCUGGUAGUCACGCAGUAACGAUGAUUACUAGCUGUUUGCGAUACACAGUAAGCGGCACAGCGAAAGCGUUAAGUAAUCCACCUGGGGAGUACGCCGGCAACGGUGAAACUCAAAGGAAUUGACGGGGGCCCGCACAAGCGGAGGAACAUGUGGUUUAAUUCGAUGAUACGCGAGGAACCUUACCCGGGUUUGAACGUAGGGAGACAGGAGUGGAAACAUUCUUUUCAGCAAUGACUGCCUACGAGGUGCUGCAUGGUUGUCGUCAGCUCGUGCCGUGAGGUGUCGGCUUAAGUGCCAUAACGAGCGCAACCCUUAUUUCCAGUUACUAACAGGUCAAGCUGAGGACUCUGGAGAGACUGCCAGCGUAAGCUGUGAGGAAGGUGGGGAUGACGUCAAAUCAGCACGGCCCUUACAUCCGGGGCGACACACGUGUUACAAUGGUAAGGACAAAGGGCAGCUACCGGGCGACCGGAUGCGAAUCUCUAAACCUUAUCUCAGUUCGGAUCGGAGUCUGCAACUCGACUCCGUGAAGCUGGAUUCGCUAGUAAUCGCGCAUCAGCCAUGGCGCGGUGAAUACGUUCCCGGGCCUUGUACACACCGCCCGUCAAUCCAUGGGAGCCGGGGGUACCUGAAGUUCGUAACCGCAAGGAUCGACCUAGGGUAAAACUGGUGACUGGGGCUAAGUCGUAACAAGGUAACC